rfam:Ictidomys tridecemlineatus contig034737, whole genome shotgun sequence.
GGGGUUGUGGCUCAGCGGUAGAGCAUUCACCUUGCAGGUGUGAGAUCCUGGGUUCGAUCCUCAGGACCACA